AUAAAUAAAUAAAUACCUUUUUUUUAAAGUAUUUUGUGCAUAUCUUUAUCUACUAUCUAGUAUUAAACAUGUGUUAAGGGUUUUUUCUAUCCUGAAAGUAUUUUGUAUACUCCUUGAAAUUAGUAGAUGUGUCUCAUUUAGUAAUUUCUAACUUCUUAGAAUGUAGGUAACGUAUGAAAAGACCUAAAUUCAUAAUUUCAAAAGGGGAUCUGUUUUUUUUUUAAAAGCCACUUCAAAAUUUUAAUGAGUCACAGUAAGUGUUACGGUUGAAUUUGCCCCCUCCCCUUCUAAAUUUAUAUGUUGAAGUCCUAAACCCCCAUAUCACAGGAUGUGCAUGUAUUUGGAUACAGGGUCUUUAACGAGGAAAUCUUGCUAAAAUUAAGUUAGUAGGGUGGGCCCUAAUCCAGUACCACUGAUGUCCCUGAUAGGGGAAAUUUGUACAGAAAGAUAUGAAUAUAGGGAAGACAAUGUGAAGAGACUGGGGAGAAGACAAUCACUUACAAGCCAAGGAGGACUGAGACUGGUCUUCCCUUCAUACUCCUCUAAACUACCACAUUGAUCUUGGACUUCUGGCGUCUAUAAACUAAAUAUGAACUGAAUGACCUCAAAAUGGCAAUGUUUGCAACUGACUUUGUUGAAGAUCCUUAAGGAGAAAGGCAACUGAAGAAAUCAAAUGGAAGUCAGACAUGUGGAGUCCUCAGGGAUAUAUUGGUGCCUUGUGAAAGCCCAAUUAUUUCAUCUUCUUUGCAGACUUGUUCCUCCACUGAGAAAAUGGUGAGGUUUUUUUUUUCUUUUUAAAUCACAUUAAUUAUUAAUGGUAAUGGAAUGGUAAGUAUCUUAAAAUUUUAACACUACAAAGCCCAUUUGAAGUCAUUUCUCUGUUUAGUUAAUACAAGAGUUGGAUUGAUAAUGAAAUACUUAAGUGAUGUAAUGGGAUUUAUUAUAAUUGGGGUCAGUGUAUAAACUGUUGACAUCUAACUUUCACAUUUUCCCAAGGUACUGUAAAGGUAUCAUGGCAACGAUUUAUUUAUACCGUAACAAAAUACAGCAAGUUGAAAAUUGCUAUAGAUAAAACGGUUAUUUUUGGUAACAUCAUAAAGUGAGGUAAUAAAGGAAGUGCUGUAAAACAGCAUAUUUUUUCAUAAAUCCUUUGAAUUUUUAAUAAUCAUUUGGUAUUGCUCUUGAGAAUUUAUGUAUCUAAGCUAAAUGCUUAUCUGCAAAAACACAAAAAUAUACUAUCAACUUAGUUUGCUGUCGUUUCUAUUUUUUCUAAUCUUACCGAAUAUUUUAUUGAAGAAUACAAAUCUCAUGCCAAAAUACCUGUUUUGAUUCCAGUUAUAUGUGAUGCAGAUGGAUUGAGAUAAACAGAUUAUUGGUCUUGAAUAAAGUUGAUAAACCUCAUUAAUUUGGCUUUCCAUUUUAAUGAGAGGGCUGAGAACAGGCAGGGAUAAUUCUCAAAUUCAAUCUGGGAUAUGGUGAUCAUAUCAGUUUGCUCAAGCUGGCAAAGCAAAAUACUACAGACUGGGUGACUUAAACCACAGAAAUUUAUUUUCUCACAGUUCUGGACACUAGAGAUCCAAAAUUAAGGUGCCAACAGGUUUCGUUUCUUACGACGUCUCCAUCUUUGGCUUGCGGAAGACCACAUUCUCACUGUGUCCUCACGUAGUUUUCUCUGGUGUCUCUCUGUGUGUCCUCAUUUUCUCUUUUAAUACAGAUACUGAUGGAAUUGGAUUAAAGGUACCCUAAUGUCCUUGUCUCAUGAAA